CAGUCGUGUUCUCUGGGAUUCAGCCUUGCUUCUUGCUUGGUGCAUUUCCUAGUCUACGGGCCAGCAUCAAUUUCGGACGCCAUAAAAUGGCUGGAGGAAUGUAGCUUCGAUCUCGUAUUGAAGUGUUAUAGCCUUCGGUAGAUGUGGUGAUCGAGAUUGAGGAUUGCAACGGAUACCCUUGGGGCUACCCUGUCUGGUCUCUGAUCGUUGCUCUGGUGCCGAAAGCUUGCUUACGGUUAUCAAAGUCGAUGGUCAAUAGGUUAGAACGGGUUAAUUCGUUAAGAUGUUGACGU
rnacentral:rRNA from 1 species